rnacentral:lncRNA from 1 species
AAACCACUUCUUCUCUCCUUUGCUCCAUAGUUUAUUGCCUACACCUUCGGUGUGAGAGAAAUUUAUCUCGGUCUCCCAUGUUUGUCAUUCACUAUAAACCCUAAAUUUUUCUCCACAAUGGAUUUAAUGGGUGAAAUCUAUUCAAGCAUCUUUCAGGUGGUGUAAAAUUUUCAUUUGAGGUUAAAAUCGUUAAAUUAGGGAAGAGUUAUAGGGUGGCGACUAGGGUUUUUUGAAAAUGUUCCCUCUUUCUAAAAUCCUUCAAUAAACAUGGUUUCCAUUUUUCUAAUUUCGUUUUUGGCCCUACGAAUCCUUUGUUUAUUUCAUUUCACGUGUUCAAUGGGGAUGCUUGGGAUUUUCGGCUAGAUCUGAGCUUUGAUGGAAGAUUAGAAGGUGGUGGCUUGAGGUUUAACUCAGUGUGUGGUAAAAUGGUUGUAUCCAACACUUCUUAUUUGGCCUAAACACUGCUGAGCAAGCUUAUAGUUGGAGCGAGGUAUGACCGUUAUUCUUCUCAAUGUCUUUUUAUUUGCCAAAAGAAAGAUUGUUGUGUUGGGGAUGUUUGGAUGUGCAUAAACUUUUCAUUGUAACAACUAGAUAAUUAGAUGUUUGAAUGUUGUUGCAUUCUGAUUUUUAAUAGAUACCAUGACCAAUAUUGUAAAUAGUUUUGAAAUGCUAAUCCAAACACCCCCUAAUUGUCCAACUUGGUAUGUUUAAUAAACAAAACAUUAUUAUGAUUCGCUAUUGGGAGUCCCUUUGACCCUGUUGAAUAUAAUGGAAAGGUCCAUGUGUCAGGCAAGGCCAACAAUGCAUACAUUUUUCCUAGAUUUGGCAUGGGUUUGAUAAAUUCUGGUGCAAUCCGUGUUCAUGAUGAAACGCUCUUAGCAGCCUGUAAGUUGGCAGUUUGAUUUUGGUUGCUAAUUCUAAUCACCAAUUGCUUUAUGACAUUUACAGGUAGGGCUGCAUAACAAGAGGUAGGGCUAACUCGGCUCGGCUUGAAAAUUUUAAAUGAAUCUACGCUCAAGCACAAGCUCGGACGACCCGGCUUGUAUUUAAAAAAAUAUCUUGCAAACAUGAACAUAUAUAAGAACAAAACAUAUUAUUUCUUACACGUAUGUUUAGGUUAUAUAACAAGUUAGUAUU